AAAAAAGAAGAGAGAAGAGAGAAACGCACACACUAGUGAGACUCGAUAAGAUCAAAAUCCCUACCACCUAUAACCCUAACGUCCUUCUGGAAUCAUCUAUUAUCCCUAUAAAUACAGAAGACGCUGCUGUCUGUGUCAUGUGUGUGGAAAAACAAACAAACACGAGAUAAAUAGCUGUUGCGGCGUGUUUGGUGGAGAGUUGUCUGAAAUGGCAGCCGAAGCCCAAAGGGGAGAUGGCGACUUCGACGAUGAUGAUCCUGACUAUGACGAGAGCCUGGUGAUGGCUGUCCUGUCAACAAUCGAUCGAAUCCAUGAUUUACCAGAGUUAUUCGCCAGAGGUUCAUGCCGAUUCUGAACCGGAGGGAGCAUAGAACUUAUGAAUCGAAGCAUUGUCUUAUCGGUCGGAUAUGGCAUCCUCGAUUUAAGGCCGAGAAAUGAAAUGGAAGCCUUGUCUUUGUGCUGCCUUUCGAAUAGCUGCGAGCUUCGAUUCGGAUGGAAAAGUCUCUCUCCCAAAAUCUCGCUGGGAUUUUGGGUGCAUGGCUUCGGUAGCCUUCUCCAAGGAUUUACGGGCAGAUCAAGGGACGGAUGUGACGUGAAGGUUCAAAUGAACCUUUUCAAUGUUAGUGUCUCCAGCCCUAAUAGUGAGAAGAUAGCCGGCAUCAAAUGAACCUUCUGGCUUCUUCUAUCACACCAGUGACUACCGGUUCUGGCAUUGCAGUCGGACUCUCUGCAUGGACCAAAUUCCCAACCUUGCGCGCACGUCCACGUUGCGCAAGUUUGAAGGAGGUACUUCUGAACAGAAGUAGGGAUGCUAAUGGAUUUCGCGCAAUGCAGCGGCCGGCAAUGGUUGGAAAAUCUAGGGAUUUUUAUUACUCCAUACAUUUUGUAAAGGAAGAGUGACUUGUUUAUUUUAUGCCCAAUUGUAAAACCCUUCCACUUGUUUAUGUAAUCAUGUAUGUAUAAAAAUUAGAAAAUUAGUAAAAAGCCCUUCAGAAAACUUAUUUUUGAAUUUUUUUAUUCAAAAAUUCUUUAGACAA